rnacentral:rRNA from 1 species
GCCUACGGGGCGCAGCAGUAGGGAAUCUUCCACAAUGGGCGAAAGCCUGAUGGAGCAACGCCGCGUGGGUGAAGAAGGUCUUCGGAUCGUAAAACCCUGUUGUUAGAGAAGAAAGUGCGUGAGAGUAACUGUUCACGUUUCGACGGUAUCUAACCAGAAAGCCACGGCUAACUACGUGCCAGCAGCCGCGGUAAUACGUAGGUGGCAAGCGUUAUCCGGAUUUAUUGGGCGUAAAGGGAACGCAGGCGGUCUUUUAAUUCUGAUGUGAAAGCCUUCGUCUUAACCGGAGUAGUGCAUUGUAAACU